rnacentral:lncRNA from 1 species
AGGUGCGCAUGCGUGCCAGCAGCGGCAUCUCAUGGGAAUUGCUUGCCUUAAAGACCUUCAGAUUACGAAAGCAUGCCUACAUAUAUCCACACAAUGUCAAUUACGUGUGUGUGCCUGCCACCCACAGCGGCUAAGGGCAUCUGGAGGUAUCUUAGAACAAACCCCCGGUGAUGAUAGCAUUGACUUGUUGCAACACGCACCCACACACGCACACACACACCCACACGCACCCACCCACACACACCCACACGCACCCACACACACGCACACACACGCACCCACACACACGCAGAUCCGGCGUUCAGCGACACGAGAAUCACCUGCUGUGCACUCAGCCUCCUAGACCAGUCGUACAGCUUCGGUCAUCCACCCAACGCGACUGUGCGGGAGUGGUGCAACGCAUACCCUUCCUGGUGCGUGGGUGAAGGUCUUGCUACGGUGCGCGGUGCGCUGUGGAUGCUUACCCUCCAUCUGCUGGCCGGUUCAGAGAUUCAUAACGGCAUAUUGAAAUUGAUCGUUGUGCGAUUUGUAUGAAUGGGUGCAGGGUCGGUAGUCACGUCUGUAAAAUUGAGGAGUGUCUAUAAACCAUCUACCUCCAGGCAUAUCAAUUAGUACACCAUAGCGCGAUCUAUAGAACUUUCUAUGCAACGACUG